rnacentral:rRNA from 1 species
GGCGCGGUAUCGGUCUAAGUCCUUUGGAACAGGGUGUCAUAGAGGGUGAGAAUCCCGUAUGUGAUCGGCAACCAACCCCAUGUGAAACCCCUUCGACGAGUCGAGUUGUUUGGGAAUGCAGCUCAAAAUGGGUGGUAAAUUUCAUCCAAAGCUAAAUANCGGCCAGAGACCGAUAGCGCACAAGUAGAGUGAUCGAAAGAUGAAAAGCACUUUGGAAAGAGAGUUAAAAAGCACGUGAAAUUGUUGAAAGGGAAGCGCUUGCAACCAGACCUGCUCGUGGACGAUCAGCGGUGCUUCUCGCGCCGUGNAUUCGUCCGCGAUCAGGCCARCAUCGGUCCAGGCGGUCGGAUAAAGACCUGAAGAAUGUAUCUCCCUCCGGGGAGUGUUAUAGCUUCUUGUGCAAUACGGCCAGCCCGGACCGAGGACCGCGCUUUGGCUAGGAUGCUGGCGUAAUGGUUGCAAGCGACCCGUCUUGAAACACGGACCAAGGAGUCUAACAUCUAUGCGAGUGUUUGGGCGUCAAACCCAUACGCGUAAUGAAAGUGAACGUGAGGUGGGAACCCUUCAGGGGCGCACCAUCGACCGAUCCAGAUGUCUUCGGAUGGAUUUGAGUAAGAGCAUAGCUGUUGGGACCCGAAAGAUGGUGAACUAUGCCUGAAUAGGGUGAAGCCAGAGGAAACUCUGGUGGAGGCUCGCAGCGGUUCUGACGUGCAAAUCGAUCGUCAAAUUUGGGUAUAGGGGCGAAAGACUAAUCGAACCAUCUGAACGAACCGGCGGACCCUGCUGGAUGGUUCAA